UUGCUCCUCGAUUCAGCGGCGGACGGGGUGAGUAAUGCCUAGGAAUCUGCCUAGUAGUGGGGGACAACGUUUCGAAAGGAACGCUAAUACCGCAUACGUCCUACGGGAGAAAGUGGGGGAUCUUCGGACCUCACGCUAUUAGAUGAGCCUAGGUCGGAUUAGCUAGUUGGUAGGGUAAAGGCCUACCAAGGCGACGAUCCGUAACUGGUCUGAGAGGAUGAUCAGUCACACUGGAACUGAGACACGGUCCAGACUCCUACGGGAGGCAGCAGUGGGGAAUAUUGGACAAUGGGCGAAAGCCUGAUCCAGCCAUGCCGCGUGUGUGAAGAAGGCCUUCGGGUCGUAAAGCACUUUAAGUUGGGAGGAAGGGCUCAUAGCGAAUACCUGUGAGYUUUGACGUUACCAACAGAAUAAGCACCGGCUAACUUCGUGCCAGCAGCCGCGGUAAUACGAAGGGUGCAAGCGUUAAUCGGAAUUACUGGGCGUAAAGCGCGCGUAGGUGGCUUGAUAAGUUGGAUGUGAAAUCCCCGGGCUCAACCUGGGGAACUGCAUCCAAAACUGUCUGGCUAGAGUGCGGUAGAGGGUAGUGCAAUUUCCAGUGUAGCGGUGAAUGCGUAGAUAUUGAAGGACACAGUGCGAGCGACUACUGGAACUGACACUGACACUGAGUGCGAAAGCGUGGGGAACAAACAGGGACU
rnacentral:rRNA from 1 species